AAGAAGAAAGAAAAAA
rnacentral:sRNA from 1 species